GGCGAUGCUGGUUCGAGCCUCAGCUGGGUCAGUUGGUGUUUCUGUGUGCAAGAUGCAAGAACAGGAUGGAUGAAAAAGCAAACUAACCCUGUCAUGGGUAAAAAAAGACAACCUGCUAGGCACCAUACAAGUUGCAUUGAUAGGGAGUCUGCAUAAUGUUGAUCAAAAAUGUGGAUGUCAAAGAUGGACUUGUCAAUGGAUGCUUUGGAAACAUUGGAAACAUUGUGACCAAAACAAAAUACAGACUUGCAUUUGUGCACAUGCUUGGAAAUCAGUCGACAAUCCAAAUGCUGGCCAGAAAUACAUACGACAACAACUGCAAGGUGAAGAGGACACUUUACAUCAAAAGAUCAGAGGAAACUCUUAAGAAAGAAGCAGUCUGUCAACAAUUUCCAAUCAAGAUGGCUUACGCAUGCACCACUCACAAAGUUCAAGGCAUGACCAUGCAAUCGGCUGUCAAAAAUCACAACCGCGUUGGAGAGGACAAAAAAUGGCAACGCUGGAAGGCAUCAUGCUACUUUUUCACUGGAAAAAAAACCAACAACAGUCUGAAAGAAAAGCUUAUCGUUGUGCAUCAUAAAGCAGAGGAACUCCCAUCACAUAUAGAGGACAUAAAACACCAUCACCAAACAUCAGGGGCCUACUUAAUUAUUUGGAAAUGAUGGAGAAUCCCAUAUUUGUCUGUGGAGACUUCACCAAAGACCACCUCUUGUCUGGAAGAAAGCCCAUUCUGGAGUUGUUCCAAUCCCCACUAUACAAACAGCUCAUCUCCAUGGCCACCACAAAGAAACGAACACUGGCCUACGUCUUUGACAUGAAGUCAGUGUGCCACACAGAACCGGGAGACAAAAGACCUGGAUAGAGCCUGAUUAUCAGCCACUCGUCUUUUACUUGGUGGUGUGUGCACAGUUGCGUGAAGGCGGUGUGUCGUACCUGAGGUGGAUGCUGUGUGAUGAGAGUAGAGUAGGGUCAGCAGCAAGGGACAUCAGGAGGAUAUUGUGGCAUCUUCAAAGUUUACAAAGGGCAGUGACAGCAGCAACAGUUGUGGCGAUGCUGGUUCGAGCCUCAGCUGGGUCAGUUGGUGUUUCUGUGUGCAAGAUGCAAGAACAGGAUGGAUGAAAAAGCAAACUAACCCUGUCAUGGGUAAAAAAAGACAACCUGCUAGGCACCAUACAAGUUGCAUUGAUUGGGAGUCUGCAUAAUGUUGAUCAAAAAUGUGGAUGUCAAAGAUGGACUUGUCAAUGGAUGCUUUGGAAACAUUGUGACCAAAACAAAAUACAGACUUGCAUUUGUGCACAUGCUUGGAAAUCAGUCGACAAUCCAAAUGCUGGCCAGAAAUACAUACGACAACAACUGCAAGGUGAAGAGGACACUUUACAUCAAAAGAUCAGAGGAAACUCUUAAAAAAGAAGCAGUCUGUCAACUAUUUCCAAUCAAGAUGGCUUACGCAUGCACCACUCACAAAGUUCAAGGCAUGACCAUGCAAUCGGCUGUCAAAAAUCACAACCACGUUGGAGAGGACAAAAAAUGGCAACGCUGGAAGGCAUCAUGCUACUUUUUCACUGGAAAAAAACCAACAACAGUCUGAAAGAAAAGCUUAUCGUUGUGCAUCAUAAAGCAGAGGGACUCCCAUCACAUAUAGAGGACAUAAAACACCAUCACCAAACAUCAUGGGCCUACUUAAUUAUUUGGAAAUGAUGGAGAAUCCCAUAAUUGUCUGUGGAGACUUCACCAAAGACCACCUCUUGUCUGGAAGAAAGCCCAUUCUGGAGUUGUUCCAAUCCCUACUAUACAAACAGCUCAUCUCCAUGGCCACCACAAAGAAACGAACAUUGGCCUACGUCUUUGACAUGAAGUCAGUGUGCCACACAGAACCGGGAGACAAAAGACCUGGAUAGAGCCUGAUUAUCAGCCACUCGUCUUUUACUUGGUGGUGUGUGCACAGUUGCGUGAAGGCGGUGUGUCGUACCUGAGGUGGAUGCUGUGUGAUGAGAGUAGAGUAGGGUCAGCAGCAAGGGACAUCAGGAGGAUAUUGUGGCAUCUUCAAAGUUUACAAAGGGCAGUGACAGCAGCAACAGUUGUGGCAACGCUGGUUCGAGCCUCAGCUGAGUCAGUUGGUGUUUCUGU